GUCCCUGUAGCGCAAUGGAUAGCGCGUGUUGGACUUUUUAUACAAAGGUCGUGAGUUCAAAUUCCACCUGGGAUG
rnacentral:tRNA from 1 species